ACUUAGAGGGCUUAUUUCAUUGGAAAUAGGGCUUAUUUCAUUGGGUAGGUGUUGGGCUUUUGAUCCCAUAGGUUUUAUUUGUAAUGUGCCACUUUAAUGGGAAUAAAAUAUGGGUAGAAAGUAGGAAAACGGGAUUUAAUUCAUUAUUUUAGUUAGAUGUUAUUGAAUUCAGAUAAAG